UACGUAGGGUGCGAGCGUUAAUCGGAAUUACUGGGCGUAAAGCGUGCGCAGGCGGUUUGCUAAGACAGGUGUGAAAUCCCCGGGCUUAACCUGGGAACUGCGCUUGUGACUGGCAGGCUAGAGUACGGUAGAGGGGGUGGAAUUCCUGGUGUAGCAGUGAAAUGCGUAGAUAUCAGGAGGAACACCGAUGGCGAAGGCAGCCCCCUGGGCCUGUACUGACGCUCAUGCACGAAAGCUGGGGUAGCGAACCGGAUUAGAUACCCUGGUA
rnacentral:rRNA from 1 species